rnacentral:rRNA from 1 species
UGAAGCCGGAAUCGCUAGUAAUCGCGGAUCAGAAUGCCGCGGUGAAUACGUUCCCGGGUCUUGUACACACCGCCCGUCACACCAUGGGAGUUGGAAAUGCCCGAAGUCAGUGGCCCAACCGGAAGGGGGGAGCUGCCGAAGGCAGGUUCGAUGACUGGGGUGAAGUCGUAACAAGGUAAC